rnacentral:misc_RNA from 1 species
AAGUAAAUAUGGUUCUGCACCCACAGUGUGCUCAUCUUUUGGCUUUAGUUACUUUCAACUGAAAGAAAUAUAGCUACAUCUCCAGUGCCAUUUGCCUACCCUGUGCAGCUGUAUUUUAUAAACCAAGAGGAACCCUCACUUGUAAAUUGGAGGAUCUCACAUGUCAGUUUUGUCACUUCACGAAGUGUAAAUGUUGCUAUUAUCUUUGGGUGCACUGGUAGUAGAUUUAUGUUGUUAAGAGGUGAAGUUGGCGAUCAUCGGAAGCCUAUGCCCUCCAUGGCUG